rnacentral:rRNA from 1 species
GACGAACGCUGGCGGCGUGCUUAACACAUGCAAGUCGAACGGAAAGGCCCUGCUUUUGUGGGGUGCUCGAGUGGCGAACGGGUGAGUAACACGUGAGUAACCUGCCCUUGACUUUGGGAUAACUUCAGGAAACUGGGGCUAAUACCGGAUAGGAGCUCCUGCUGCAUGGUGGGGGUUGGAAAGUUUCGGCGGUUGGGGAUGGACUCGCGGCUUAUCAGCUUGUUGGUGGGGUAGUGGCUUACCAAGGCUUUGACGGGUAGCCGGCCUGAGAGGGUGACCGGCCACAAUGGGACUGCGAUACGGCCCAGACUCCUACGGGAGGCAGCAGUGGGGAAUAUUGCACAAUGGGCGGAAGCCUGAUGCAGCAACGCCGCGUGCGGGAUGACGGCCUUCGGGUUGUAAACCGCUUUCGCCUGUGACGAAGCGUGAGUGACGGUAAUGGGUAAAGAAGCACCGGCUAACUACGUG